ensembl:lncRNA
AAUAAAGCCAGGGACGACCAUGGUUGGCUGCGGUCAGGAGGGUGGUGUGGGUAGGACCAGAAACAUGCUGCAUGCGUCUGCAGGCAAAUGGGUUACUUCACUUCUCUAAGACACUUUCCUCUUCCACUACACUGGACCUCCCUCCGCUCCACAGGGACAUCAUGAAGUCCAUGGAGCUCGGCGGAAAUGGAAGCCUCCGGUCUAUGGUCAGGUCCUAUCCCACAUGUGCCCAGCACUUAGUGCUUUGGGGCCUGUGUCCUCAUUCAGCGAAGCUUGAGCUCCUGUUUAGUUGAUCAUUUCCACAGAAGGGACAUUGCAUUCAGGCUCCCGUAGGCUCUCAGUUCCCUCCUUUACCCACAAUCACCCCAUCUGUAUUUCUAGCUUACAGAGGCUACAGCAGGAAGAGAGGGAAGGAUGACAGGGGCCUGCUUUCGCUCCUGCAGAGGUGAGAAGUCUCCAGUGCUUCCUGGCUCCUCACUCCCACGCCUGUGAGGAGAUCACUCGGGACAAAGGGCAAGGGCUGACCAUGGGACCAGGGGCCCUAUGGGAAGGUGGGGUGCGGGCACAGCGCUAAUGUUUAAUUCGAGUGUGGAGCUGUGGCUGCAGGUGGCCUUUCCUGCUCAGCUUGUCCACCUCCUGCUGCCGAAUGCUCCAAGCUGCAACCUUAUGUCCUGUCUCCUGCAGCCUGCUUACUGACACCAUCAGCUUUUGCCAGCUCUUAAGAAGAGAUGCCUGGGCUCAAGGAUCCAGAACAGAAGCUGCCAAAGACCACCAGCCACCUAGGCAUUCCACAGAGCAGUCUAUGGCCAACUUGCCUCUAGUGGCCUCCUUCCCUCUGGUCAAGGAACACUUGCUGCACAAAGAUUCAACUUUGUCACCUACCCUGCUAAAUUCCCUUACUUGUAAGGAAUCACAAACACUUACAUGUGAUUCUACCCCACCAGUGACGACAAUGCCAAAAAUGCAUCCUUUACCACGACCAUGUGGACCAACCUCCCCAUCCUGUCCUCAAGAUCCAGUGUUCUGCUCUCCAUCCGAGACAGACCAAAGCAUGACUCCUCCUCCUUCUCCUCUUCCUCCUCCUUUUCCUCUGAUCUCUCUUCCUCCUCCUCCUCCUCCUCUUUCCCUUCCUCCCUCUCUUCCUCCUCCUCUUUCCCUUCCUCCCUCUCUUCCUCCUCCCACUCUUUCCCCUCCUCCCUCUCUUCCUCCUCCUCCUCUUCCUCCUCCUCCCCUUCCUCUUUUUCCUCCUCUUUCUCUUCCUCCUCCUCCAUCUCCUCCUCCUCUCUCUCUUCCUCUUCCUCUUCCUUCUCCUCCCCCUCCUCCUCCUCCUCCUCCUCAAUGUGAGUGGAAAACACAACUAGUGACCUCACAAAGCACAUCUCCUCCAGCUUUGCCUUGUCCCAUGGCAAGCCCCCCAGGCCUUGAGUACUCAAACAUGUCUCCUUCAAGCUCUUCCUGGUACAAGGCAGCUGCCAGGACCUGGUGUCAUUCUAAGUGGUCACAGGAUGACACCCUGCAAGAGGAUCUCCAUUUCAGCUUCCAGGAGGCCUCAUUGUGGACAGACCCUGGAUACAGGCAGCUAGAGGCUGGAGAACCCCCGUUCAUCAAGCCUGAUGUGCAGAAGAUCCUGGAGCUGCAGAUUAGCAAGAGGGUAGAACUGAAGCUCUGGAAAGAGCAAGGAAGGGAGAGC